CCCCCCAAACAAAGAAAACCUUCAGCCGUCGCCUACCUGGAAAAAAAGCUAGACGAAAUUCCUCCAAACUCGGAACAUCACCAGCAAACGAAGAGGGGUUCUGAUUUCUGAAAACUCAACCAUGUUACUAACUCGAACCAAAUCAAAGAUUUAUGUUCACAAUCCCUCUUCCCCCAAUUUCUCCUACCCUUCUUUCAAAGAUGUUCAAACCCUUUGUUCUGGCGAUUCAAUUUCCAGCAACAACCCACCCCACUCCCUAAGACGAAAAAAAAAGAGCAUGAGCUCUGAAAAAUAGUGAGGAGAUCGAGAAAGGGUCCUUUGUUUGAGUUCCUCACCGUGAGCAGAUUUCCGUUCUUGGUUCGAGUUCGUUGUUACAUUUUGCUUCGGGUUGUAUUCAAAAGCUUAAAUUUGAAUAAAAGUUAAAGAGGAAUUGGCUGAAAUUUUGCUAUUUGAUGCUGAUUAUUGCUCAAAUGAACUCAAGGCAUUAGGUAUGGAUCCAUGUACCAGAGCUCGAGCAUGACAGAUACCCUAGGACCAUCAUAUUUGGGAGCUUGUUUGGGGAAACUUUUUAUGUUUUGAGUCUAUUUUUGUGCUGUUUUUUUUACUUUCUAAUCUUGUCUAGUAGUAUGCAGUCUUUUAGUUGGUGUCAGAGUUUGUCGUAGUAUAGUUGAGUUUGUCGAGUCUCUCGUUAUCGUACUUCCUGUUUUGUAUUUGAAAAUCGAAAAAAAGUUAUAAAUGAAAAAUCCAAAAAUAUUUUAUUUUUAA